ACUAUGUAAGAAGAAUUAUGGUUUGAACUACGUAACAAUUACCUAGACAUCUUUUGGACUUCAGUUAACCUAAAUUAACUCUGCAAAAAGCGCUGUGGAGAACCUGGGUUUUAAUCUAGGGUUUUGCAAGUUCAUGCACCUGGCAGUGGCCUAAGGCGCAGAAGGACCAAACUGAGGUGUCAAGCACUGCAGUAGAUUCUGAAGAUACAAAAAUAAAUAAAACAUUCCUGCCCUCAAGACACUUACACUCUUAUGUGUAACACUGUGUGACCAUUCAUCUGGGCCUUCCUGAGACAGUCUUGGUUUACACCUGUUUUCCCAAUCAGAGCAUCACUGCCUUUCCCACUAUUCUCCUGCAGAAGAGCAGGGGAAGGAAGCACCAGGGUCCAUCAUGGAGUUGUGACAACUGAGAUUCAGAGAUGUCCAAUCUACUCACAUAAAUAGCCUGGUUGAAGAUGGCUGAGCGUAAAACAGAAUGCAAGUCAGCUGGAGCACGUACUACUGGAGGCAGAGCCCCAUGAGAAGGGGCCAAGAACCCGCACCCAUCAAAAUCAAGAAGAAAGGCUGAACCCGGAGAGAAAAGGGAGCAACUGAUGUUGCCAUGCAGAUCCCUUGGUUGCUAUGAGAUGGUAACAUCACUCUGCCCCACCAUUGGCCAGUGCCUCCUCAGCUGCGGUGCCUCCCAGGCUGUGUGGUUCUCACGCGGGCCACUGACACAGAGCUGUUACUAUGGUGAACUUUACAAUUUCCUUUGAUUGGUGGAUUUCAGAAAUAGGCCAUCAGCGGAAUUCAUUAUAUUCAGCUAAGUAAAAAUGAAAAAUAAAUACUAUAACUUUCCCCUCAUCACUAACAUGAAGGAAACGUGACCCUUCAUGACAUAAUAAAUCGCUGUUCGGUAACUUAGGAUCCUUCAGGGGACUGAAGCGGGAUGAUCCUCCUAUGCCAAAUUUGGGUGGGAAAGAUAUUCCCUGUAGCUUUGAGUCGACUCUUCAGAGUUAAGGGCAGUGGGCCAACCAGAGUUGGAACUUCAGAGUUGGGAGGAGGUGUGGGAUGGGGCAUGCAUUGAAAUGUAAACUCUAUUGUCUCUGAAGUGAUGGGUGAUGCUGGGGGCCUGAGUGUGGAGGGCAGUUUUACAUCUCAGGACAAUGUUUUCUCAGAUGCUCUUCCAGAAAGAAAAGCCAGGAGUACUCCUGGCUGGAGGCGGCAUGCCUGAGGUCAGAGUCAAAGUAGGGUUUGUGCUGUCUGAAUCCUUUCUCCCACUCUCCCCAGCCUGGCUCAGCUUCUCAGCUUCUCAGGUGGAUUGGCCUCUGAGCCCAAGCCAAGCCAUCGCAUCCCCUGUGACUUGCCCGUAUAUAUGCCCAGAUGGCCUGAAGUAACUGAAGAAUCACAAAAGAAGUGAAUAUGCCUUGCCCCACCUUGACUGAUGACAUUCCACCACAAAAGAAGUGUAAAUGGCCGGUCCUUGCCUUAACUGAUGACAUUACCUUGUGAAAGUCCUUUUCCUGGCUCAUCCUGGCUCAAAAAGCACCCCCACUGAGCAUCUUGCGACUCCCACUCCUGCCCACUGAGCACCUUGUGACCCCCACUCCUGCCUGCCAGAGAACAAACCCCCUUUGACUGUAAUUUUCCUUUACCUACCCAAAUCCUAUAAAACGGCUCCACCCUUAUCUCCUUUUGCUGACUCUCUUUUCUGACUCAGCCCGCCUGCACCCAGGAGAUUAAAAGCUUUAUUGCUCACACAAAGCCUGUUUGGUGGUCUCUUCACAUGGAUAUGCAUGAAAUUUGGUGCCGUGACUCGGAUCGGGGGACCUCCCUUGGGAGAUCAAUCCCCUGUCCUCCUGCUCUUUGCUCCGUGAGAAAGAUCCACCUACGACCUCAGGUCCUCAGACCGACCAGCCCAAGAAACAUCUCACCAAUUUCAAAUCCAGUAAGCAGCCUCUUUUUACUCUCUUCUCCAACGUCCCUCACUACCCCUCAACCUCUUUCUCCUUUCAAUCUUGGUGCCACACUUCAAUCUCUCCCCUCUCUUAAUUUCAAUUCCUUUCAUUUUCUGGUAGAGACAAAAGAGACACGUUUUAUCCAUGAACCCAAAACUCCGGCGCCGGUCACGGAAGGCAGCCUUCCCUUGGUGUUUAAUCAUUGCAGGGACGCCUCUCUGAUUAUACACUCACGUUUCAAGGGUGUCAGAC
rnacentral:lncRNA from 1 species